AGAAGGGAUCAUUAAAACAAAAGUCUUGAGAUGUGCCUUGAAGAAGGGAAGAGAUGGACAGUCACGAAGAGGUUGGGGGAGGGAGUUCCAGAGUUUGGGGGCCAAGGCACUGAAGGACCUGCCACCCAGGGUGGAGAGUCUG